rnacentral:rRNA from 1 species
UAAAUAGUAGGAUCUGCUCAAUGUAUAUAAAUAGCCGCAAUUAGUGCUAAGGUAGCAUAAUCAUUUGUCUUUUAAAUAAAGACUAGAACAAAAGAUUUAACAUUUAAAUUUAUUUAUUUAAAUUAAAAAUUUAAUUUUUCCAAAAUGUUAAAAGACAUUUAUUUUUAAGAAAGACGACAAGACCCUAUUAAACUUAACUUAAGUUAAACUGGGGUAGUAAAUUAAUUAUUAUUUUAAAUAUAAAUUUUUUUUUUAAAAAUCUUUUACAAAAAAUAAACAAGUUACUAUAGGGAUAACAGCGCAAUUAAUUUUUAAAGAUCAUAUUUAAAAAAUAGAUUACGACCUCGAUGUUGAAUUAAUUUACUUAAUUAAAGCAAAUUUUAAUAUAAGAAAGUCUGUUCGACUUUUAAACCAUUACAUGAUUUGAGUUCAGACCGGUGUAAGCCAGGUCGGUUUCUAUCUUCUUUAUACUUUUAUGUAGUACGAAAGGACCUAUAAACAUAAUAUUAUUAUUUAAUUGGCAGAUUAAUGCAUUAGAAUUAGAAUCUAAAUAUAAUUUA